CACGUAGGGUGCGAGCGUUGUCCGGAAUUAUUGGGCGUAAAGAGCUCGUAGGCGGUGUGUCGCGUCGGCCGUGAAAACCUGCAGCUUAACUGUGGGCUUGCGGUCGAUACGGGCAUCACUGGAGUUCGGCAGGGGAGAGUGGAAUUCCCGGUGGAGCGGUGAAAUGCGUAGAGAUCGGGAAGAACGCCGGCGGCGAAAGCGACUCUCUGGUCGGAUCCUGACGCUGAGGUGCGAAAGCUAGGGGAGCAAACGGG
rnacentral:rRNA from 1 species